AAAAGCUCCAGUCGACAGUAACAGCUGGCCUCCAUAAUUUCUAGCGCUUCACAUCACCGCCACAGCUGUUUCAUUAUAGCAGAUCUUAUGAAAUCUUUUACUUUCAUCUACAUUUUCAAAAAAGAGACGUUUCAUAUCUUUUAUUAUAAUAGUCUUAAGCAUUUUUUCUCCAUGUCUUUCAGUUUGAAAACUAAGACGUUUCUUCUCCUUUUUUUCAUGCUGAGAAACUAAGACGCUUCUUCUUCUUUUCUUUUAUGCUAAAAAUCGAAGGCGCUUCUUCUUCAUUUCACGCCGAACGAAAAUUGGGAUGCCUCCUUCCAGGGUUUUGCAGAAUUGGUAGUGGGGGUAUUAAAAAGAUAAAUACCAGAGCCAGAAGGAAAAGUCCCAUUGAAGCAAGAAGAAGUAAAUUACUAAUCACAGUUAACAUGCAAGAACAUUGACAGGGAAUUUUGCAGACCUCUGGGAGCUUUACCUCGUCUACCACCGUAUCUUCCUGCUCCUACGUUGAAGCUUUUAGCUGAAGUUGCAGUACUCAAAGAGGAGGUCGUUCGGCUCGAAGAGCAGGUCAUACACUUUAGGCAGGACUUGUAUCGAGAAGUUGUCUGUAAAUCAUUGUUGAAAUGGAAAAUGGAGAAUUCAGCUGAUUGAGAGAGCCUUGUCUGGAUAAUAGUACUAAAUCUCAGCUAUCUACAACGUCAACUCGAAAUACAUGAAUGGCAAGGCAUUCGAGAUCGUUUUCGGGUAAGCCCUUUUGUGGUUUUUAAUUCCUCAUCUUAUGGCAUUAUCAUUUGAUGCAUAUUGGUAUCGAAGUAGGCCGUCUUUCAAGGAAAGCUAGUAGUACCUACUGCAGGCUAAUAUACCAAAGGCUAUCUCAUGUGGCCCAUAGGAGGCCUUAGUUUUCUGAAUCAAUUUUGUCAUUUAAUCAAUGAGCGGCAUGUUAAGGAGCCGUUGCGUAGGCUAGCUCCUGCUCUAUCAUCUGGUUAUGACCUGUUUGGACGCCAUUGAAUAGCAAAUACUAAUUGAAGUUUUGAAUUAAA